rnacentral:rRNA from 2 species
ACGAACGCUGGCGGCGUGCCUAAUACAUGCAAGUCGAACGAACUCUGGUAUUGAUUGGUGCUUGCAUCAUGAUUUACAUUUGAGUGAGUGGCGAACUGGUGAGUAACACGUGGGAAACCUGCCCAGAAGCGGGGGAUAACACCUGGAAACAGAUGCUAAUACCGCAUAACAACUUGGACCGCAUGGUCCGAGUUUGAAAGAUGGCUUCGGCUAUCACUUUUGGAUGGUCCCGCGGCGUAUUAGCUAGAUGGUGGGGUAACGGCUCACCAUGGCAAUGAUACGUAGCCGACCUGAGAGGGUAAUCGGCCACAUUGGGACUGAGACACGGCCCAAACUCCUACGGGAGGCAGCAGUAGGGAAUCUUCCACAAUGGACGAAAGUCUGAUGGAGCAACGCCGCGUGAGUGAAGAAGGGUUUCGGCUCGUAAAACUCUGUUGUUAAAGAAGAACAUAUCUGAGAGUAACUGUUCAGGUAUUGACGGUAUUUAACCAGAAAGCCACGGCUAACUACGUGCCAGCAGCCGCGGUAAUACGUAGGUGGCAAGCGUUGUCCGGAUUUAUUGGGCGUAAAGCGAGCGCAGGCGGUUUUUUAAGUCUGAUGUGAAAGCCUUCGGCUCAACCGAAGAAGUGCAUCGGAAACUGGGAAACUUGAGUGCAGAAGAGGACAGUGGAACUCCAUGUGUAGCGGUGAAAUGCGUAGAUAUAUGGAAGAACACCAGUGGCGAAGGCGGCUGUCUGGUCUGUAACUGACGCUGAGGCUCGAAAGUAUGGGUAGCAAACAGGAUUAGAUACCCUGGUAGUCCAUACCGUAAACGAUGAAUGCUAAGUGUUGGAGGGUUUCCGCCCUUCAGUGCUGCAGCUAACGCAUUAAGCAUUCCGCCUGGGGAGUACGGCCGCAAGGCUGAAACUCAAAGGAAUUGACGGGGGCCCGCACAAGCGGUGGAGCAUGUGGUUUAAUUCGAAGCUACGCGAAGAACCUUACCAGGUCUUGACAUACUAUGCAAAUCUAAGAGAUUAGACGUUCCCUUCGGGGACAUGGAUACAGGUGGUGCAUGGUUGUCGUCAGCUCGUGUCGUGAGAUGUUGGGUUAAGUCCCGCAACGAGCGCAACCCUUAUUAUCAGUUGCCAGCAUUAAGUUGGGCACUCUGGUGAGACUGCCGGUGACAAACCGGAGGAAGGUGGGGAUGACGUCAAAUCAUCAUGCCCCUUAUGACCUGGGCUACACACGUGCUACAAUGGAUGGUACAACGAGUUGCGAACUCGCGAGAGUAAGCUAAUCUCUUAAAGCCAUUCUCAGUUCGGAUUGUAGGCUGCAACUCGCCUACAUGAAGUCGGAAUCGCUAGUAAUCGCGGAUCAGCAUGCCGCGGGUGAAUACGUUCCCGGGCCUUGUACACACCGCCCGUCACACCAUGAGAGUUUGUAACACCCAAAGUCGGUGGGGUAACCUUUUAGGA